GUGCCAGCAGCCGCGGUAACACGUAGGAUCCGAGCGUUAUCCGAAUUUACUGGGCGUAAAGCGCGUGCAGGCGGUUUGGUAAGUUGGACGUGAAAUCUCCCGGCUCAACUGGGAGGGGUCGUUCAAGACUGCCAGACUAGAGGGCAGUAGAGGGAGGUGGAAUUCCCGGUGUAGUGGUGAAAUGCGUAGAUAUCGGGAGGAACACCAGUGGCGAAAGCGGCCUCCUGGGCUGCACCUGACGCUCAGACGCGAAAGCUAGGGGAGCGAACGGGAUUAGAUACCCCGGUAGUCCUAGCUGUAAACGAUGUGGACUUGGCGUCGGUGGGUUCAAAUCCGCCGGUGCCGUAGCUAACGCGCUAAGUCCACCGCCUGGGGACUACGGCCGCAAGGUUAAA
rnacentral:rRNA from 1 species